rnacentral:tRNA from 1 species
AUUUAUAUAGUUUAUAACUAAAACAUUACAUUUUCAAUGUAAAAAAAAAAAUUUUUUUUUUAUAAAUA